GGGGUGUUAGUGACCUUGCACUGGGAUUUGGUUGAAUGCUACUAAUGACUCUCAUCCUUAACUGCACUAAUUGACAAAAGUGCCUCAUACUUGGUACCUCUCUCUACCUCAGACUGUUUCCUAAACCCCAAAUGCACCUCCCAUUCUCAGUGAAUCACUAGACAUCCCCUACGGGCUGAUUCUAAGAUGAGUCCUCUCCUGCUGGUGAUGACCUUCCCAUUCAUGUCUAACAAAGCACUUUAUGCUCUAUCUGUCUCAUGCACUUUCUAUGUGAAAUAAUCUAUCAGAGCAAUCAUUAUCCCCUUGUACACUCCAUGAGGACAGGGAUAAAGCUGAAUCUGAAUUUCCUAUCUCCCUCUAAAACUGGGCACAGCAACAGAUACAGCAAAGGAUUUAUACAGAGAAGCAUCCCUUGUAACAAUGAAUAAAGAGAAGAAAAACAGUUCAACAAAACUAACCAGUCCAUUGCAAGAGUCUGACAUUAUAUGCAGUAUUAUACACCCAUAGAUCCUAUUUCUGCAAAGAAGGAACAUGAAAAUGAAGUUCCCUCAUGAAUUCAUCUCAGAUUCUUUCCCCAAAAUCGUCUGUUCUCAAUCACCAGCUUAAAUUAUUCAACAAGCACUUGUUAAUUGCCUACUAUGUGCCAAGUGCCAGUGAUAGCAACAAAAGUGGAAAAAGUCCCUGAGCGCCAGAAGCUUGCAUUGGAUUACAUUCUCUGCAUUUCUCUGCCUUCGGAUCACAACACAG